rnacentral:rRNA from 1 species
ACUGUUUAUCAAAAACAUUUCUAUUAAAAUAAUUAAUAGUAAAAUCUGCUCAAUGAAAUUAAAUAAAUAAAUAGCCGCAAAAUUUUGUGCUAAGGUAGCAUAAUCAUUCGUCUUUUAAUUGAAGACCAGAACAAAAGAUUUAACGUUUUAAUUAAUAUCUCUACCUUAAACUUUCAAAUUUAUCUUAAAUGUAAAAAGACAUUUAUAAAAAAGAAAGACGACAAGACCCUAUCGAACUUUACUUCAGUUAAACUGGGGCAGUUAAUUAAUUAAAAUCUUAAUAUAAAUAAUACAAUAAAUGAUCCAAUCACAUUGCUAAAUUAUCAAUGUUACCAUAGGGAUAACAGCAUAAUAAUUCUCAAAAGACCUUAUAAAAACAAUAGAUUAUGACCUCGAUGUUGAAUUAAUUACCUAGUUGACGCAAGAGUUAAAAAAGGAAGUCUGUUCGACUUUUCAAAAAUUACAUGAUUUGAGUUCAGACCGGCAUAAGCCAGGUCGGUUU